rnacentral:tRNA from 1 species
UCCCUUGUGGCUCAGCUGGUAAAGAAUCCGCCUGCAAUACGGUAGACCUGGGUUCAAUCCCCAGAUUGGGAA